UACGGGAGGUGCAAGCGUUACUCGGAAUUACUGGGCGUAAAGCGUCCGCAGGUGUCUUGCUGCGUCUGGGGUAAAAGCACGGGGCUCAACCCCGUGUAUGUCCCGGAAACGAGCAAGAUGGAGUCACUCAGAGGUAUCUGGAAUGCCGUGUGUAGGGGUAAAAUCCGUUGAUCCACGGUAGAACGCCAAAAGCGAAAGCAGGAUACUGGGGGUGUACUGACACUCAUGGACGAAAGCGUGGGGAGCGAACGGG
rnacentral:misc_RNA from 1 species